rnacentral:rRNA from 1 species
UUAGCCUUAAACCUCAGUAGUUAAAACAACAAAACUACUCGCCAGAAUACUACAAGCAAUGGCUUGAAACUCAAAGGACUUGGCGGUGCUUCAUAUCCCCCUAGAGGAGCCUGUCCCGUAAUCGAUAAACCCCGAUCCACCUCACCCUCUCUUGCUCAGCCUAUAUACCGCCAUCUUCAGCAAACCCUGAUAAAGGUUACAAAGUGAGCGCAAAUGCCUCCCCUCGCAAAAACGUUAGGUCAAGGUGUAGCCCAUGAGACGGUAAAAGAUGGGCUACAUUUUCUACCUCAGAAAACCCUACGACAACUCUUAUGAAACCUAAGAAUCCAAGGAGGAUUUAGCAGUAAAU